UCUAAUAUGUCAUUUUUUUUUUGUUUCGGGAAAAAUUAAAUUUGUUUUGCAGGCUCUUAGCGUGUUGUCCCAUUUAGAUCCUUCUAGCACUCCAGUUGUAGGAGAAGAUGUACAUAGUCCAAUUGAAGAGCUAGUAAUAGGAGAAUAUGUAUAUAGUCCAGUUGUAGAGCCAGCAGUAGGAGAAGAUGUACAUACUUGAGUUGGAGAGCCAGCGGGAGGAGAAUAUCUACAUAGUGCAGAUAGCUUUGCUGGAAUGACAAGAGAUUCAGUAAUAUAUAUUGAUGAUAAAGAAAAUCCCAAUCUAGAGGUGAUAGAUGUGUCGAGCCAGAGCUCCAAUCAUAUGCAUACGCUAUAGUGCCUCGUGUUGCGGGUCCAACACUUGCACUUGAUUAUCCUGCUAGAUCAAUGCUUCCAAUUGAAAUGCGAGAUGUAAUAGAUAGAUGUAUUGCCAGCUACUCUUGGGUAUAUGAUAUCAUCCUAAGCAGGGAGACAACCGUUCUAGAGCGUGGUGCACUUGAGGAUAUAUUAAUGAAUCGGUGGUUCGAGAAUGAACAUGUAGAUAUGUUUGCCACUAUGUUGGCUGAAAGAAGGAAAUAGUCACCUGAAAUGUACAAAAAAUACAUAUAUGUGUCCCCACUAUAUAUGAUGUUAGAUGUUAAAGACGGUAAAAUCUUUUACGGAAGGAUUUACUGAAGGCAUUACAAAGGAAGCAAUUAAAAAUAAUGACCUCGUUUUAUUUUUUAUAAUUGAUCGUCAACAUUGGAUUUUGUUAGUAGAGGAGCUGAGAGGAAGAAAAUGGAAAAUAUAUGACUCACUGUCUAACCCGAUGCAUAAAGCGGUUGUUGUAGAACUUAUCAAACAUUUUGCUAAUGAUACUGAAGGAAUAUUUCAGACCGACAUAAAGAAAUGACAAAUGUCAUGUCCUCGAAAUGUUCCAACCCAAAGUAACAACCACGACUGUGGCAGGUUUGUUUGUAAGUAUAGGGAAGCCUUAGUACAAGUUGGUACAAUCGAAUGGAAACAACACUCAAACUGGCAAGAUCUUAUAGUACAAUUUAUAACGCAGUUUGCAUAUACGAUUUGCAUGUGGGCUCGCCAAACAUCUUAAAUAUU